rnacentral:rRNA from 1 species
GUGAGUGGCGGACGGGUGAGUAACACGUGGGUAACCUGCCCUAAAGUGGGGGAUAACAUUUGGAAACAGAUGCUAAUACCGCAUAAAACCUAGCACCGCAUGGUGCAAGGUUGAAAGAUGGUUUCGGCUAUCACUUUAGGAUGGACCCGCGGUGCAUUAGUUAGUUGGUGAGGUAAAGGCUCACCAAGACCGUGAUGCAUAGCCGACCUGAGAGGGUAAUCGGCCACACUGGGACUGAGACACGGCCCAGACUCCUACGGGAGGCAGCAGUAGGGAAUCUUCCACAAUGGACGAAAGUCUGAUGGAGCAACGCCGCGUGAGUGAAGAAGGUUUUCGGAUCGUAAAACUCUGUUGUUGGAGAAGAACGUAUUUGAUAGUAACUGAUCAGGUAGUGACGGUAUCCAACCAG